CAAUAGCGUAUACUAAAGUUGUUGCGAUUAAAAAGCUCGUAGUUGGAUCUCAGGCAUGGGCGCACGGUCCGCCUCGCGGCGGUCACUGUGUGUUUUGUUUCCCAUCCUACGCUUCCCGGUUAUCAGCCCAUGGUGCUCUUCACUGAGCGUUUUGGGUGGCCGGAACGUUUACUUUGAAGAAAUUAGAGUGUUCAAAGCAGGCACGUUGCCUGAAUAAUGGUGCAUGGAAUAAUGGAAUAGGACCUCGGUUCUAUUUUGCUGGUUUUCGGAACACGAGGUAAUGAUUAAGAGGGACAGACGGGGGCAUCCGUAUUGCGGUGUUAGAGGUGAAAUUCUUGGAUCAUCGCAAGACGAACAACUGCGAAAGCAUUUACCAAGCAUGUUUUCAUUAG
rnacentral:rRNA from 1 species